rnacentral:rRNA from 1 species
CAAGGUAGCGUAAUCACUUGUUUUUUAAAUAAAGACUAGUAUGAAUGGCAUCACGAGGGUUAUACUGUCUCCUUUCUCUAAUCAGUGAAAUUAACCUCCCCGUGAAGAGGCGGGAAUAUUUUUAUAAGACGAGAAGACCCUAUGGAGCUUUAAACAAACUAUAUUUGCUUAACUACAUAAACAAUUUCAGAAAAAGAAUCCAUUUUAGCACUAUACUAGUUAGUUUUAGGUUGGGGUGACCGCGGAGAAAAAUAUAUCCUCCACAUUGAAUAAGAAAAUUUUUAGCUAAAAGUUACAUCUUGAAGCAUCAACAAAUUGACAUUCUUGACCCAAUUAAUUGAUCAAUGAACCAAGUUACCCUAGGGAUAACAGCGCAAUCUACUUCAAGAGCUCCUAUCGACAAGUAGGUUUACGACCUCGAUGUUGGAUCAGGAUAUCCUAGUGGUGUAGCCGCUACUAAAGGUUCGUUUGUUCAACGAUUAAAAUCUUACGUGAUCUGAGU